rnacentral:lncRNA from 1 species
CCCAACCACGCGCCCAGGGCCCUUGCCCAGUUUUCCAAGAGAUAACUUCACCAAGAUGUCCAGUGAUAGGCAAAGGUCCGAUGAUGAGAGCCCCAGCACCAGCAGUGGCAGUUCAGAUGCGGACCAGCGAGACCCAGCCGCUCCAGAGCCUGAAGAACAAGAGGAAAGAAAACCUUCUGCCACCCAGCAGAAGAAAAACACCAAACUCUCUAGCAAAACCACUGCUAAGUUAUCCACUAGUGCUAAAAGAAUUCAGAAGGAGCUAGCUGAAAUAACCCUUGAUCCUCCUCCUAAUUGCAGUGCUGGGCCUAAAGGAGAUAACAUUUAUGAAUGGAGAUCAACUAUACUUGGUCCACCGGGUUCUGUAUAUGAAGGUGGUGUGUUUUUUCUGGAUAUCACAUUUUCAUCAGAUUAUCCAUUUAAGCCACCAAA